rnacentral:rRNA from 1 species
UACGUAGGGUCCAAGCGUUUAAUCGGAAUUACUGGGCGUAAAGCGUGCGCAGGCGGUUCUGAAAGUCAGCUGUGAAAGCCCCGGGCUUAACCUGGGAAUUGCGGUUGAAACUACAGGGCUAGAAUCUGGCAGAGGGGGGGUGGAAUUCCACGUGUAGCAGUGAAAUGCGUAGAGAUGUGGAGGAACACCGAUGGCGAAGGCAGCCCCCCUGGGCUGAGAUUGACGCUCAGGCACGAAAGCGUGGGGAGCAAACAGG